rnacentral:rRNA from 1 species
CCCAGACUCCUACGGGAGGCAGCAGUGGGGAAUAUUGCACAAUGGGGGAAACCCUGAUGCAGCGACGCCGCGUGAGUGAAGAAGUAAUUCGCUAUGUAAAGCUCUAUCAGCAGGGAAGAAAAUGGCGGUACCUGAGUAAGAAGCCCCGGCUAACUACGUGCCAGCAGCCGCGGUAAUACGUAGGGGGCAAGCGUUAUCCGGAUUUACUGGGUGUAAAGGGAGCGUAGACGGCAGUGCAAGUCUGGAGUGAAAGGCGGGGGCUCAACCCCCGGACUGCUCUGGAAACUGUACGGCUGGAGUGCAGGAGAGGUAAGUGGAAUUCCUAGUGUAGCGGUGAAAUGCGUAGAUAUCAGGAGGAACACCGGUGGCGAAGGCGGCUUACUGGACAGUGGCUGACGUUGAGGCUCGAAAGCGUGGGGAGCGAACAGGAUUAGAUACCCGGGUAU